GAUGAACGCUAGCGGCAGGCCCAAUACAUGCAAGUCGAACGCUCAGUAGCAAUACUGGGAGUGGCGCACGGGUGCGUAACGCGUACACAAUCUACCUCUAAGCGGGGGACACCUCCUGGAAACGGGGAUUAAUACCGCAUAAUAUGCCGAAGUCGCAUGACUUUGGUAUUAAAGCAGCAAUGCACUUAGAGAUGAGUGUGCGUCCCAUUAGGUAGUUGGUGAGGUAACGGCUCACCAAGCCUAUGAUGGGUAGCCGGUCUGAGAGGAUGGUCGGCCACACGGGCACUGAGACACGGGCCCGACUCCUACGGGAGGCAGCAGUAAGGAAUAUUGGUCAAUGGUGGAAACACUGAACCAGCCAUGCCGCGUGGAGGAAUAAGGUCCUACGGGUUGUAAACUCCUUUUGACGAGGAAGAAAUGUUAGAUUUAUCUAAUUUUGACGGUACUCGUAGAAUAAGCACCGGCUAACUCCGUGCCAGCAGCCGCGGUAAU
rnacentral:rRNA from 1 species